AUACGUAGGGGGCAAGCGUUAUCCGGAAUUACUGGGUGUAAAGGGAGCGCAGACGGCUAAGCAAGUCUGAUGUGAAAGUCAUGGGCUCAACCCAUGGAUUGCAUUGGAAACUGCGAAGCUGGAGUGUCGGAGGGGUAAGCGGAAUUCCUGGUGUAGCGGUGAAAUGCGUAGAUAUCAGGAGGAACACCGGUGGCGAAGGCGGCUUACUGGACGAUCACUGACGUUGAGGCUCGAAAGCGUGGGGAGCAAACAGGAUUAGAUACCCUGGUAGUCCACGCGGUAAACGAUGAAUACUAGGUGUCGGGGGGCGAAGCUCUUCGGUGCCGAAAGCAAACGCAGUAAGUAUUCCACCUGGGGAGUACGUUCGCAAGAAUGAAACUCAAAGGAAUUGACGGGG
rnacentral:rRNA from 1 species